rnacentral:pre_miRNA from 9 species
UCACGAUAGCGUAAAAGUCAAAUUUGUAGGGAGUUGGAACGUUUGCCUAUGUUUGCCGCUAGGGGGCACUGUUCCGGCUGCAUACAAAUUUCAGGUAACUUUUACGCUAUCGA